rnacentral:lncRNA from 1 species
GCUUCUACAAGAAUAGGACUUCUUCCUCUCCUUAAUCCAACAUAGCAGCUGUGAUGUCAUUUCUGUAUUUCAGGAAGACUGGCAGACAGUUGCUUUGAUUCUUCCUCAAAGUAUUUACCAUCAGCUACAGUCCAAAAUUGCUUUUUCUUCAAGGAGAUUUAUGGAAAAGACUCUGACAAGGACUCUGGAAUACAAGCUCCUGAUAACUUCAAGAUCAUACCACUGGACUAAGAACUUUCAAAAUUUUAAUGAACAGGCUGAUACCUUCAUGAAAUUCAAGACAAAGAAGAAAAAAAACUCAAUUUUAUUGGAAUAAAUAAUCAAAAGGAUAAUGUUUUCAUAAUUUUCUAUUUGAAAAUGUGCUGAGUCUUUGAAUGUUUUAUUCUCCAGAUUUAUGAACUUUUUUCCUUGAACAAUUGGUAAAGUAUACUUUUGUAAACAAAAAUUGAAACAUUUGCUUUUGCUGAGUGCCCCAGAAUUGGGAAACUAUUCAUGAGUAUUCAUAUGUUUAUGGUAAUAAAGUUAUUUGCACAACUUCA